GAGGGAGGGGGGAGGGUGAGCGAACGGCUGUGUGGUGUUUAGCUGCCAGCCGGGUUAAACCACAACAGAUAUCAAGUGCUGAACUUUCUGUUUGUUCACAGAAAUGGGUUGCUUGCUUUUCUGCUUAGAUAAAAGAGAGGUUGACACACCUUGAUAGAUACAGAGGAUUUACGUUUCUUCUGAGAGGUCCCACAUAAGACAGCAGAGGAGCAACCAAGUUGGGAAUAAAGAUGCAGCUUCCUUAUUCAGUAAAGCUCUGGGACCCUUGGUGGGAGCUUCAUACAGAAGUGAAAUAUUCAUUAUGAAGCAAGAAGUGCAAGAAGGGAUGAUACACGGUGAUGAAAAGUACCCUGAGAAGGCAGUGGAACAUUAUGAUCUGAAAGAGAUGUUGCUGGACGAAGCUGGCACUACAUACAGACAGACUUCUCUCUCCUACUGCUGUGCAUCCUGGAAGCACUCUGCUGGAAGUGAUCCUACAGAUCCCAUAUGGCACUGAAGCCACAGUGAUGAAUGCUGAAUGCUCCUAUUAAGCGUACACCUAACUUUGGGGUGCAAGAUCUCCUAGUCAGACACAGCACUGACUU
rnacentral:lncRNA from 1 species